CAAAGGAGUGAUCCGGCAGAGGAUGGACAUGCGGCGCAUUAGCUAGUCGGCGGGGUAACGGCCCACCGAGGCUACGAUGCGUAGGGGUUCUGAGAGGAAGGUCCCCCACACUGGUACUGAGACACGGACCAGGCUCCUACGGGAGGCAGCAGUGAGGAAUAUUGGUCAAUGGGCGGAGGCCUGAACCAGCCAAGUCGCGUGAGGGAAGACGGUCCUAUGGAUUGUAAACCUCUUUUGCAGGGGAGCAAGGCGCGGUACGUGUACCGCGAAGGAGAGUACCCUGAGAAAAAGCAUCGGCUAACUCCGUGCCAGCAGCCGCGGUAAUACGGAGGAUGCGAGCGUUAUCCGGAUUUAUUGGGUUUAAAGGGUGCGCAGGCGGACUGUUAAGUCAGCGGUAAAAUGUCGGUGCUCAACACCGGCCGGCCGUUGAAACUGGCAGCCUUGAGUGAGCGAGAAGUAUGCGGAAUGCGUGGUGUAGCGGUGAAAUGCAUAGAUAUCACGCAGAACUCCGAUUGCGAAGGCAGCAUACCGGCGCUCAACUGACGCUCAGGCACGAAAGCGUGGGUAUCGAACAGGCUUAGAUACCCUGGUAGUCCACGCAGUAAACGAUGAAUGCUCACUGUCCGGGCCGUUUAAGGCCUGG
rnacentral:rRNA from 1 species